AUACACACACACACACACACACACACACGGAUCGGAUUGACAUCUGGGGAAUUUAGCAGCCGAGUCAACACCUUGAACUCUUUGUUCCUCAAACCGUUCUUGAACAAUUUCUGCAGUGUGGCAGGGAGCAUUAUCCUGCUGAAAGAGGCCACUGACAUCAGGGAAUACUUGGUGUACUCGGUCUGCAACAAUGUUUAGAUAGGUGGUACGUGUCCAAGUAACAUCCAAAUGAAUGCCAGGACCCAAGAUUUCCCAGCAGAACAUUGUCCAAAGUGACACACGCAGGAUGUGAACAGCAGAACCGUGCAGCAACAGCUGUCCAUCUCUCGUCCAGAUGAUUUCAGGAGCCAGCUGUGUCUGAACAUCACACUUAAGAGAAACCAUGUGACCUUCUACAGCACUCACUUCCUCUUCCGGCUGACCCACAAUCCUCGGCGGUACUACAGAGAGAGCAGAACAGUACAAGAUUAUAUGGUGUUUGAGGAAUAAUUCGAACGACCUGUCACCACUGAGCACACUUCUUAUCACUACAAUAGAACUGGAGUGAGUCCUACCGGGCACGGAUUGGUGGAAGAAGCUGUCCAUUAUUUCGCCAGGACACAGUGGGGGCGGGACUUCCCUCGACCUCACAUGGCAGUAUGACCGCUGCUCCCUCCUGCACUGUCGUGUUAAUGACCACAGCGUGCUCAUGUGCUCCGAGGAUAUGGGGCUUAGCUGGAAUAAAAAAUAAAAGGUCAACUA
ensembl:lncRNA